GAUCUAAGAUCUAAACCGUUAAAAUUGUAGAGCUUGUGAAGUAGAUAAACAAUAAAGAUCGUUUGAAUCGAAUUCCAAAUGAUGCAUGAUCGGAGAUUAUAAAGUGAAUUUAUUUUUAUGAAAAUAGAUUUGGUAACAUUGUAUCAAACCUAUUAAAUUCACUCCGACGACGAAGGGACGUCCCCAACGGAAAAGUAAAAAGGAUUGUCACUCCAGUGCUCAACAGGUUUGGAAUAUUUCCUUCGUGGGGUCUUUCUCAGAGGCUUUCUCACAUUAUAGGACACAAUAGAGCUUGUGAAGUGUCUUUGACAGCCAUGCCCUUAACUGCAGAACAAGCUGACAGGUGGGGUUUGGUGAAUCGUCUUGUUGAGGAAACUGAAUUGCUAAAGAAAGCCCGAGAAGUGGCAGAGGCUAUGAGGACUGGGUGUUGAGGAAAGGGGUCAUGAAUAUUAUGAUGGAAUGACCAAGGAGCAGUUCAAGAAAAUGCAGGAGUUCAUAGGUGGUCAGAAGAAACCUCCGUCCAAGGUCUAGAUUUGAUCGUUUACGAAAUUUACCAAGGAGCUCUGAGGUGUCUGGUUCCAGUUAGUAUAUUCAUGUUAUGUGCCUUAGCCUUUCUCAGCAUAUGAAGGGGUAUUUUUUCUCUUGAUGCUGCUUGGGCUUGACUGAUGCAGUAGAAGAUGGGGUUCUAUUAUAGUACUCUUGAUGCUGCAUUUGGUCUUUCUCUCAACUGUUUUGAUUUGGCUAUGCUGCUGUGGAUUUGGUGCUAUUGGAAUUUAUGGGCUUCUAUUUAUCUCUAUGGUCAUCCCGGACUUCCACGUUUUGAUUGUUCUGCUUAGUUGAUGGAUCUAAAGCAAUUUGGUGAUGUUAUUUUGCUGCUUUUAUGGUGUUGCCGUUGCUGCUUCUCAGUUGUUCCUAUGCUGUUCUGCUUCUGAGGCGAUUCUAUGCCUAGUUGCAAUCUUGGUGAUCAUGUUUUGUUGUAGUCUUUGAAGAUUCUUGGUGAUCGCGUAUUGUUGCUCUUAUCCCAUUGCUCUGCUGCUGCUCCAUGGUUUGCUCAUAGGCUUGAUAUUGGUUCUGCUCAUGUGCUGUGGUUUGAUUGGCCUGGUUUUGUUCUCUUUCUGCAAUGUAUUCCUUUAGUCAUGGAUGUUGCUGCAAUAUUCCUUGGUCGAAGGUCUCAGUUGGGUUCAAUGGUAUAUUCCUUGAAGGCUUUAUGUUCUUUGAAGGUUAUGCUCAAGGCUUUUCCUUCGGUUCAGUCUCCCCCUCUCUUCUGAGGAGGCUUUGAUACGUCACUGGUGCUGGUGGAAUUGAUCAAGUUUACAAGCUCAUCCUUGGUUCGCUUGCUGCUGCUGCUGUUUUUGUUUCUAUUUUGAUUUUUGCUCAUUGCUUCUGUUUUCUUUGGUUUGGCUAUAUGCCUUGUUAGGAGUUGAUUUCAUCAACCUCCAUAUAUUUCCUUUUGCCGAUCGGAAAAAAGGUGGGAAAAGGAUGAAUGUUCCUGCAAAUACGAAGAGAGAUGUUCUGUGUUGAAAAUCUUUGAGAGGUUUCCUUUUCGUGUAUAUUAUGUGUGGUUUCUUAA